UUGGCCCUUUUACGCCCAGUUUCUUUGCUCCAAGUACAGCCUGGCUGAUCCCUGCGCUGCCUCACCUGGUGCCUCCAGCCUGGCUAGCAGGGACCCCAUCAGGGGACAACGGGACUUUGGUCUCUCUACCUCUUUCAGACCUCAGCCUGUCCUCAGACACUCUACCAGUGAUGUGCUGGGGUCCAGGGUGGGGGCUGUGUGAUACACCCGCCUGCCCAUGAGCAAUUGGGCUGAAACCAGCAACUCCUCUUGCAGCCGGCAGCAGUGGUCCAGAGAUUCCAACCAGGCAGGCCUGGAUCCCAGCAGCAGGCCCAGAUAACUUGCACCCAAGAGUCCUAGAAGAGUUGGAGGAGGAGAUCUCUGGCCUGCUGAUGUUAUUUUGAAAUAAAUCUUGGAAUACUGGGGACAGAAGAGUGCUAAUGCACCAGUAUUCAAAAAGGGCCAGCAGGAUGACCAGGGUAAUUGCCUGUGACAGGAGACUGGGCUAGACGGACCUUGGGGCUGAUCCAGCCUGGAGAUUCUUGUGCUCCUAAAUGUUUUAUAAAAACAUCACAUGGAUGAACAGCAGAACAAGCAUAAAAUAGAAAGUCAGGAAAAUCAGCACAUAGAUAUUGAUAUAAAUAUGCCAAAAAGCACUCAUAAGCACGGGAAUCAGCGUUUCACAUCUUCUGGACAGCAGCCAUCCCACAAAAUAGGGAAGGACAAAAAGUUAGACCCAAAACACUGAAACUAAUAACAAUACCAACAUGAAUCCUUUACACCUAAAUCUCAAAAAUCUCUGAGCAGCUGUCACUGAAUUCGUCCCUCCUUCUACUGCUCCAAUGCAGCUUUUCAGGGAAGAACAAGAACGAUUUAAAAUGCACACAACAUCUGUGCUCACCCACCAGGAAUAACUUGUAAUAGGAUGUAUUAUCAAAUAAUAAUAGGGUGAAAUAUACAUAAUAGAGGGUUGAGCUGGGAGUGCCAAAUCACACGCUUGUCAGAAAAACCCAGUGGCAGAUUUAUUCAUAAAACAAUGUGUUAGCUAAAUUUGGACGGAAAUGUCAGCAAGGCGGAGUGGGUUUCUGCAACAUUCAGGACCUCUUCUGCUGCCGCAUGCAGGUGCUGAAAAUUACUCCUUGGUGUAAACUCAAAUAAUUGUUGUACAGCUAAUGUUUAUUGGUCAUGUGGAAUUCUAUAGCUCCUUCUAGUCAAGUAAACUUUGCAGGGGA